GCCGUAUCCACCGUCUCGACUUGAUCGAUCAUCGAAUUUUGCCCGUCGAGCAUUUGGCUAAGGAAAUGAAUGUACGCUUCUACUCUCUACUCCCUAUGGAACUGCGCUGGUGAUCAACAAACUAAGAUCCCCGUUGCCAUGGAGGAUUUUCGGUGACGCUCGUUAUAGACGGUGACGACGAGCUCCACAUCGUGACUAGCAGUCAUCGACAUCGCCGCUAACAAGUCUCUCUUAGGACGCGCGCGUACGGAUGUUCGACUUACUCGUUUGCGUCGGCUGGCCUCGUUGGGGUCAUCCUCUGGACACUUUCGCUUUGCGCCACCAACGCCGC